rnacentral:rRNA from 1 species
AAUUGUGGACAAUGGGCGCAAGCCUGAUCCAGCCAUGCCGCGUGACUGAAGAAGGCCUUCGGGUUGUAAAGCUCUUUCCGUCGGGAGGGAAUCGCGCAGGCUAAUACCAUGCUCGGAUUCCCGUACCAUCACAAGAAAGACCGCCCCACUACGCGCCAGCACCCGCGGUCAUACGUAGGGAGCGAGCGUUAAUCGGACGUACUGGGCGUAAAGAGUGCGCAGGCGGUGGAUUAAGACAGGCGUGAAAUCACCGGGGUUAACCUGGGAACUGCGCUUGUGACUGGUCAGCUAGAGUACGGCAGAGGAGGGUGGAAUACCACGUGUAGCAGUGAAAUGCGUAGAGAUGUGGAGGAACACCGAUGGCGAAGGCAGCCCCCUGGGCCGAUACUGACGCUCAUGCACGAAAGCGUGGGUAGCAAACAGG